UUUGUAGGAUUCUUUAAAUAUUUACUUUUUUUUUUUUUUAUCUUUAUUUUUAAAAUCACCAAGGCAUUGCGCCAGUGCGCACGCGCAGACUCUGCUGUGCGCAUUAAGCUACAGAUCUUGGAAGAAGACGCUGCAUUUUUUGAAUUCCCUGGAAAACUGCUUGGUAAACAUAGAUUUUACAGCAAAUAACAUACAAUAUUUAUUUUAAAUGUUUAUUGUAUUUUACAAUUAAUCCUCAAUGUUUUCUUUUAUUUUGUUAUUUUAAUUUCCUCGAUAGGUCACAUCACAUAUGAUUCUACUGUGACGUGCACAGACGGAAGCGAGCCUGCACAAAGGAUUUGAGAACUGUUGAUUUUUAUUUUAUUUAUUUUUGCACUUUUACUUUUAUUUUUAGGAUUAAAAAAAGAAAAAGUCUUUGUUUUUAAAAUCUAAUUUUAAAGUCCUAACGUCACUAAGGCAUUGCGCAUGCGCAGACUCUGCUGUGCGCAUUAAGCUACGGAUCUUGAAAGAAGACGCUGCAUUUUUUGAAUUCACUGGAAAACUGCUUGAUCACAUAUGAUUUGCUGUGACGUGCACAGACACAAUGAGCGAGCCUCCACAAAGGAUUUCGUAUAAACGUUAUCUAAGUGAUGCUGAAGAGGAAAUUCCUCCAAGAACCCAACGAAGAUGGGCACUAAAAAAAAGGAAAUCCCAGACACCCUUCUAGAAGACAGUACUCUGCUGAUGAAUACUGAUGAAGAGUGCACUUCCAGUCCUGUUCAGAUAGAGGUCCCGGUGGAUUCAGGUCAAACUAAAGAGCAAACCCAACUACUACUACUUCAAAACUUUCUGGUUACAGAAGGCCUUACCUUUUUAUGGCCAGACUAUCAUGAAAGUGAGUUACAUGUUUCAACUGUUUUGGUCUUGUAAGAGAUUCAAAGAUCUCCUUGCAUUCAUUUAAACUUUGAUGCAUUAAUGGUAAAAAGCUAUGUGUACAUUACAAAAGCAGUGUGAUAUUAUGCCAUGUGGUAUAUUUUUCCAAAGUGAUUUUAAAGCAAUUCACUAAAAAAAUUUGAAUAUUUAAUGGUAAAAGUGAAAUAUACAUUAACAUGUUCUAUUUAAACUGAAAAUUAUACUGAUAGUUUUAAUAAUUUGUCUUAUCAUUAAGUGCUAUAUUGUAUUCCUUAUAAUGAAUUGUCAAAAACUAAAGUGUACUUAGCAGUUUUUGUAUUUUGUAUACUGUAUCACUGACAGUUCAUUUCAAAGUGAAAAUGAACACUAGAUUAGUAUUGAGAUAUUGUGUAAUGUGACAGGCUACUGUAAACAAAUGAAUAAACAUGACCUAAUUCUUGCUAAACCUUUGGCAGCUGUUUUGUUUGUAUCCAACUGUUUUUUGAUGAUGUA